GGAGCUGUGGUUUAGGGGUAUAGCAUCCGCUUUCCAUGCAGAAGGUCCCAGGUUCAAUCCCUGGCAUCUCCA